rnacentral:snoRNA from 2 species
AGGCUCUCAGGGUCUCCUCUGGAGAGUUUCCAGUACUCUACCAGUCUCAACUACGGGAGGGAAAGUCAAGCGGAGGCAUAUCCAUUCCAUUCCUAGCUUGGGCAGUGGCUAGCAAGUGGAAGACAAUCUGCUACAAGU